rnacentral:rRNA from 1 species
AUUGAACGCUGGCGGCAUGCCUUACACAUGCAAGUCGAACGGCAGCACGGGGCAACCUGGUGGCGAGUGGCGAACGGGUGAGUAAUGCAUCGGAACGUACCUUUCAGUGGGGGAUAACGUAGCGAAAGUUACGCUAAUACCGCAUAUUCUGUGAGCAGGAAAGCAGGGGAUCGCAAGACCUUGCGCUGAUUGAGCGGCCGAUGUCGGAUUAGCUAGUUGGUGAGGUAAAGGCUCACCAAGGCGACGAUCUGUAGCGGGUCUGAGGGGAUGAUCCGCCACCCUGGAACUGUGACGCGGUCCAGACUCCGAGGGGAGGUAGCAGUGGGGAGUUUUGGACAAUGGGGGCAACCCUGAUCCAGCCGUGCCGCGGGAGUGAAGAAGGCCUUCGGGUUGUAAAGCGCUUUCGGCCGGGAAGAAAUCGCACGGGCUAAUACCCUGUGUGGAUGACGGUACCGGAAUAAGAAGCACCGGCUAACUACGUGCCAGCCGCCGCAGUAA